rnacentral:rRNA from 1 species
GAGCGGCAAAAGCUCAAAUUUGAAAUCUGGUACCUUCGGUGCCCGAGUUGUAAUUUGGAGAGGGCAACUUUGGGGCCGUUCCUUGUCUAUGUUCCUUGGAACAGGACGUCAUAGAGGGUGAGAAUCCCGUGUGGCGAGGAGUGCGGUUCUUUGUAAAGUGCCUUCGAAGAGUCGAGUUGUUUGGGAAUGCAGCUCUAAGUGGGUGGUAAAUUCCAUCUAAAGCUAAAUAUUGGCGAGAGACCGAUAGCGAACAAGUACAGUGAUGGAAAGAUGAAAAGAACUUUGAAAAGAGAGUGAAAAAGUACGUGAAAUUGUUGAAAGGGAAGGGCAUUUGAUCAGACAUGGUGUUUUGUGCCCUCUGCUCCUUGUGGGUAGGGGAAUCUCGCAUUUCACUGGGCCAGCAUCAGUUUUGGUGGCAGGAUAAAUCCAUAGGAAUGUAGCUUGCCUCGGUAAGUAUUAUAGCCUGUGGGAAUACUGCCAGCUGGGACUGAGGACUGCGACGUAAGUCAAGGAUGCUGGCAUAAUGGUUAUAUGCCGCCCGUCUUGAAACACGGA